GUGAAGUGAUGAUGAAGUUUAUCCAUUCUCUGAGUUUUGCUGUUUNGCCCUUUCCUUCCCGUCUCGAUUCCUGUCCUAGGGUCUUGAUGUUGCGUAGCCACAAGACACUUUCCAACCUUCCAAUGUUCUAUUGGGAGCUGGGAGUGCUCCAGUGGCUNCUGGAAGGACAUGGGCAGAAAAGGCAGAGCCAGGGCCCCUUUGUUCUGGGGCUCUGGCUUGAACCAAGAAGAAUGAAACUAUCUGAUCAC
rnacentral:snoRNA from 1 species